rnacentral:rRNA from 1 species
UACGUAGGGUGCAAGCGUUAAUCGGAAUUACUGGGCGUAAAGCGUGCGCAGGCGGUUGUGCAAGACAGGUGUGAAAGCCCCGAGCUUAACUUGGGAAUUGCGCUUGUGACUGGCGUGCUGGAGUGUGGCAGAGGGAGGUGGAAUUCCACGUGUAGCAGUGAAAUGCGUAGAGAUGUGGAGGAACACCGAUGGCGAAGGCAGCCUCCUGGGCCAGCACUGACGCUCAUGCACGAAAGCGUGGGGAGCAAACAGG